AAGACUUUAAGUUAAUAAUAAACUAAAAACCUUCAAAGUUUUCAACAGGCAUAACCCUAAGUCUUG
rnacentral:tRNA from 1 species